rnacentral:rRNA from 1 species
UUGAACGCUGGCGGCAGGCCUAACACAUGCAAGUCGAACGGUAACAGGAAGCAGCUUGCUGCUUUGCUGACGAGUGGCGGACGGGUGAGUAAUGUCUGGGAAACUGCCUGAUGGAGGGGGAUAACUACUGGAAACGGUAGCUAAUACCGCAUAACGUCGCAAGACCAAAGAGGGGGACCUUAGGGCCUCUUGCCAUCGGAUGUGCCCAGAUGGGAUUAGCUAGUAGGUGGGGUAACGGCUCACCUAGGCGACGAUCCCUAGCUGGUCUGAGAGAAUGACCAGCCACACUGGAACUGAGACACGGUCCAGACUCCUACGGGAGGCAGCAGUGGGGAAUAUUGCACAAUGGGCGCAAGCCUGAUGCAGCCAUGCCGCGUGUAUGAAGAAGGCCUUCGGGUUGUAAAGUACUUUCAGCGGGGAGGAAGGGAGUAAAGUUAAUACCUUUGCUCAUUGACGUUACCCGCAGAAGAAGCACCGGCUAACUCCGUG